UCUAAAAUGGCAGAUUAGUGCAUUGGACUUAAACCCCAAUUAUAUAGAUUUAACUAUUUUUAGAA
rnacentral:tRNA from 1 species